UCGGAGAAACAAGACUGAGGACUUGGCCUC
rnacentral:piRNA from 1 species